rnacentral:rRNA from 1 species
CAGUCUGCAACUCGACUGCACGAAGCUGGAAUCGCUAGUAAUCGCGGAUCAGAAUGCCGCGGUGAAUACGUUCCCGGGUCUUGUACACACCGCCCGUCACACCAUGGGAGUCAGUAACGCCCGAAGUCAGUGACCUAACCGAAAGGGAGGAGCUGCCGAAGGCGGGACGGAUGACUGGGGUGAAGUCGUAACAAGGUACC